rnacentral:tRNA from 1 species
GGCGCUAUCAUCUAGGGGUUAGGAUAUCUGAUUUUCAAUCAGAUCACCGGAGUUCGAAUCUCCGUAGCGCCG